rnacentral:rRNA from 1 species
AGUGAACGCUGGCGGUAGGCCUAACACAUGCGAGUCGAACGGCAGCACAGUAAGAGCUUGCUCUUACGGGUGGCGAGUGGCGGACGGGUGAGGAAUACAUCGGAAUCUACUUUUUCGUGGGGGAUAACGUAGGGAAACUUACGCUAAUACCGCAUACGACCUACGGGUGAAAGCAGGGGAUCUUCGGACCUUGCGCGAUUGAGUGAGCCGAUGUCGGAUUAGCUAGUUGGCGGGGUAAAGGCCCACCAAGGCGACGAUCCGUAGCUGGUCUGAGAGGAUGAUCAGCCACACUGGAACUGAGACACGGUCCAGACUCCUACGGGAGGCAGCAGUGGGGAAUAUUGGACAAUGGGCGCAAGCCUGAUCCAGCCAUACCGCGUGGGUGAAGAAGGCCUUCGAGUUGUAAAGCCCUUUUGUUGGGAAAGAAAAGCAGCAGGUUAAUACCCCGCUGUUCUGACGGUACCCAAAGAAUAAGCACCGGCUAACUUCGUG